AUGUACAAGUUCCCGGCCACAUCCACUUGUAUUUGUAGUAUUUGUAUUUUUAUCCAUCUGAUGAGUUGAGCCUCUUUUAACUGAUUUUUAUACGACCACAAAAAAAUUUUUGUGGUCCUAUAUUGGUAUGACUUUGGCGUCAUCGUCGUUGUCGUCCGAAGACACAUUAGUUUUCACACUCUAACUUUAGUUUAAGUGAAUGGAUCUCUAUGAAAUUUUACCAUAAGGUUCAAUACCACAAAAGGAAGGUUGGGAUUGAUUUUGGGGGUUAUGGUACCAACAGUUAAGGAAUUAGGGGCCAAAAAGGGGCCAAAAAUGAGCAUUUUCUAGUUUCCAGACAAUAACUGUGGAACGGUGUAUGGAUCUCUCUGAAAUUAUACUACAAGUUUCCAUACCACCAAGGGAUGGUUAGGAUUUGCUUUGGGGGGUUAUGGCUCAAACCGUUUAGGAAUUAGGGGCAAAAAAGGGGGAAAAACAAGGUUGUCCUGGUUAAUGGACAAAUACUUUAGUACAAAACAUAAUUUAAAGCAGUGUAAGGGAGAUAAAUCAAAUACAUCAUUGAAAUUAUCUCCCUUACACUGCUUUUAAAUUAUGUAUAAAGUAAUGGUUAAUGAACAAUAAAGAUAAUCUAAAACAGUGUAAGGGAGGUAAUCCAAAUACAACGUUUUGGUUACUUCCCUUACACUGCUUUUAAAUUAUGUUUAAAGAAAUGCAUAUUUAUAAAGGAAGACCAGUAAAAAUAUCUGCAAAUGUUUCCAUCUUUUUUUUUUACAAAAAAAUCCAUAUGAAAGAUUUGACACUAUAUUUUUAUUAAUUCUAUUAUAAAAUAGAUUAAGUUAGCCCUAUGGUAAAUUUAAAUGGGUAAUUAUGGUUGCCAACUCCAUUGGAAAUUUGAAUUGAGAUUAUGACCAUAUCUUGAGGGAAAGAA